rnacentral:rRNA from 1 species
UGAUACGUAGGGUGCGAGCGUUGUCCGGAAUUAUUGGGCGUAAAGAGCUUGUAGGCGGUCUGUUGCGUCGGAAGUGAAAACUCAGGGCUUAACCCUGAGCCUGCUUUCGAUACGGGCAGACUUGAGGGAUGUAGGGGAGAACGGAAUUCCUGGUGGAGCGGUGGAAUGCGCAGAUAUCAGGAGGAACACCAGUGGCGAAGGCGGUUCUCUGGACAUUUCCUGACGCUGAGAAGCGAAAGCGUGGGGAGCAAACAGGCUUAGAUACCCUGGUAGUCCACGCCGUAAACGGUGGGCACUAGGUGUGGGUUCCAUUCCACGGAAUCCGUGCCGAAGCUAACGCAUUAAGUGCCCCGCCUGGGGAGUACGGCCGCAAGGCUA